AUGAGGCCACAGGUGCUGCUCGCCGCGCUGGCCGUCAUCGCCGUCCUCGCAGCAGCUCUGCCUCUCGCCCAUAGCCAAGGCGCGACGCUGUGCUGCGACAACUGCGGCUCCUGCACCAGGUCCAUCCCACCUCAGUGCACAUGCAUGGACACCUCACCAACCGGGUGCAACCCGGCCUGCAAGACCUGCUCGAGGUCCACCGUCGGCGGCCGCAACAGCUUCCAGUGCAAGGACCGCGUCGCCAACUUCUGCAAGACCCGCUGCACUAACGCCGCGUGA
rnacentral:rRNA from 1 species